rnacentral:rRNA from 1 species
UGCAGCAACGCCGCGUGAGUGAUGAAGGCCUUCGGGUUGUAAAGCUCUGUCUUCAGGGACGAUAAUGACGGUACCUGAGGAGGAAGCCACGGCUAACUACGU